UACAGAGGUCCCGAGCGUUGUUCGGAUUCACUGGGCGUAAAGGGUGCGUAGGUGGCAGGGUAAGUCGGAUGUGAAAGCUCGGAACUCAACUCCGAAAUGGCAUUGGAAACUACCCAGCUCGAGGGUUGGAGGGGGGACUGGAAUGCUUGGUGUAGCAGUGAAAUGCGUAGAUAUCAAGCGGAACACCAGUGGCGAAGGCGAGUCCCUGGACAACUCCUGACACUGAGGCACGAAAGCUAGGGGAGCAAACAGG
rnacentral:rRNA from 1 species